GCGGCGGCCGCCUUCGGGGAAGGGGGUGGGUCCGGGGAGGGGUUUGCCAUCCUCCUCUAGUUAAAAGUAAGGGGGAAAAGAGUAAACGCGCGACUCCAGCGCGCGGCUACCUACGCUUGGUGCUUGCUUUCUCCAGCCAUCGGAGACCAGAGCCGCCCCCUCUGCUCGAGAAAGGGGCUCAGCGGCGGCGGAAGCGGAGGGGGACCACCGUGGAGAGCGCGGUCCCAGCCCGGCCACUGCGGAUCCCUGAAACCAAAAAGCUCCUGCUGCUUCUGUACCCCGCCUGUCCCUCCCAGCUGCGCAGGGCCCCUUCGUGGGAUCAUCAGCCCGAAGACAGGGAUGGAGAGGCCUCUGUGCUCCCACCUCUGCAGCUGCCUGGCUAUGCUGGCCCUCCUGUCCCCCCUGAGCCUGGCACAGUAUGACAGCUGGCCCCAUUACCCCGAGUACUUCCAGCAACCGGCUCCUGAGUAUCACCAGCCCCAGGCCCCCGCCAACGUGGCCAAGAUUCAGCUGCGCCUGGCUGGGCAGAAGAGGAAGCACAGCGAGGGCCGGGUGGAGGUGUACUAUGAUGGCCAGUGGGGCACCGUGUGCGAUGACGACUUCUCCAUCCACGCUGCCCACGUCGUCUGCCGGGAGCUGGGCUACGUGGAGGCCAAGUCCUGGACUGCCAGCUCCUCCUACGGCAAGGGAGAAGGGCCCAUCUGGUUAGACAAUCUCCACUGUACUGGCAACGAGGCGACCCUUGCAGCAUGCACCUCCAAUGGCUGGGGCGUCACUGACUGCAAGCACACGGAGGAUGUCGGUGUGGUGUGCAGCGACAAAAGGAUUCCUGGGUUCAAAUUUGACAAUUCGUUGAUCAACCAGAUAGAGAACCUGAAUAUCCAGGUGGAGGACAUUCGGAUUCGAGCCAUCCUCUCAACCUACCGCAAGCGCACCCCAGUGAUGGAGGGCUACGUGGAGGUGAAGGAGGGCAAGACCUGGAAGCAGAUCUGUGACAAGCACUGGACGGCCAAGAAUUCCCGCGUGGUCUGCGGCAUGUUUGGCUUCCCUGGGGAGAGGACAUACAAUACCAAAGUGUACAAAAUGUUUGCCUCACGGAGGAAGCAGCGCUACUGGCCAUUCUCCAUGGACUGCACCGGCACAGAGGCCCACAUCUCCAGCUGCAAGCUGGGCCCCCAGGUGUCACUGGACCCCAUGAAGAAUGUCACCUGCGAGAAUGGGCUACCGGCCGUGGUGAGUUGUGUGCCUGGGCAGGUCUUCAGCCCUGACGGACCCUCAAGAUUCCGGAAAGCGUACAAGCCAGAGCAACCCCUGGUGCGACUGAGAGGCGGUGCCUACAUCGGGGAGGGCCGCGUGGAGGUGCUCAAAAAUGGAGAAUGGGGGACCGUCUGCGACGACAAGUGGGACCUGGUGUCGGCCAGUGUGGUCUGCAGAGAGCUGGGCUUUGGGAGUGCCAAAGAGGCAGUCACUGGCUCCCGACUGGGGCAAGGGAUCGGACCCAUCCACCUCAACGAGAUCCAGUGCACAGGCAAUGAGAAGUCCAUUAUAGACUGCAAGUUCAAUGCCGAGUCUCAGGGCUGCAACCACGAGGAGGAUGCUGGUGUGAGAUGCAACACCCCUGCCAUGGGCUUGCAGAAGAAGCUGCGCCUGAACGGCGGCCGCAAUCCCUACGAGGGCCGAGUGGAGGUGCUGGUGGAGAGAAACGGGUCCCUUGUGUGGGGGAUGGUGUGUGGCCAAAACUGGGGCAUCGUGGAGGCCAUGGUGGUCUGCCGCCAGCUGGGCCUGGGAUUCGCCAGCAACGCCUUCCAGGAGACCUGGUAUUGGCACGGAGAUGUCAACAGCAACAAAGUGGUCAUGAGUGGAGUGAAGUGCUCGGGAACGGAGCUGUCCCUGGCGCACUGCCGCCACGACGGGGAGGACGUGGCCUGCCCCCAGGGCGGAGUGCAGUACGGGGCCGGAGUUGCCUGCUCAGAAACCGCCCCUGACCUGGUCCUCAAUGCGGAGAUGGUGCAGCAGACCACCUACCUGGAGGACCGGCCCAUGUUCAUGCUGCAGUGUGCCAUGGAGGAGAACUGCCUCUCGGCCUCAGCCGCGCAGACCGACCCCACCACGGGCUACCGCCGGCUCCUGCGCUUCUCCUCCCAGAUCCACAACAAUGGCCAGUCCGACUUCCGGCCCAAGAACGGCCGCCACGCGUGGAUCUGGCACGACUGUCACAGGCACUACCACAGCAUGGAGGUGUUCACCCACUAUGACCUGCUGAACCUCAAUGGCACCAAGGUGGCAGAGGGCCACAAGGCCAGCUUCUGCUUGGAGGACACAGAAUGUGAAGGAGACAUCCAGAAGAAUUACGAGUGUGCCAACUUCGGCGAUCAGGGCAUCACCAUGGGCUGCUGGGACAUGUACCGCCAUGACAUCGACUGCCAGUGGGUUGACAUCACUGACGUGCCCCCUGGAGACUACCUGUUCCAGGUUGUUAUUAACCCCAACUUCGAGGUUGCAGAAUCCGAUUACUCCAACAACAUCAUGAAAUGCAGGAGCCGCUAUGACGGCCACCGCAUCUGGAUGUACAACUGCCACAUAGGUGGUUCCUUCAGCGAAGAGACGGAAAAAAAGUUUGAGCACUUCAGCGGGCUCUUAAACAACCAGCUGUCCCCGCAGUAAAGAAGCCUGCGUGGUCAACUCCUGUCUUCAGGCCACACCACAUCUUCCAUGGGACUUCCCCCCAACAACUGAGUCUGAACGAAUGCCACGUGCCCUCACCCAGCCCGGCCCCCACCCUGUCCAGACCCCUACAGCUGUGUCUAAGCUCAGGAGGAAAGGGACCCUCCCAUCAUUCAUGGGGGGCUGCUACCUGACCCUUGGGGCCUGAGAAGGCCUUGCGGGGGUGGGGUUUGUCCACAGAGCUGCUGGAGCAGCACCAAGAGCCAGUCUUGACCGGGAUGAGGCCCACAGACAGGUUGUCAUCAGCUUGUCCCAUUCAAGCCACCGAGCUCACCACAGACACAGUGGAGCCGCGCUCUUCUCCAGUGACACGUGGACAAAUGCGGGCUCAUCAGCCCCCCCAGAGAGGGUCAGGCCGAACCCCAUUUCUCCUCCUCUUAGGUCAUUUUCAGCAAACUUGAAUAUCUAGACCUCUCUUCCAAUGAAACCCUCCAGUCUAUUAUAGUCACAUAGAUAAUGGUGCCACGUGUUUUCUGAUUUGGUGAGCUCAGACUUGGUGCUUCCCUAUCCACAGCCCCCACCCCUUGUUUUUCAAGAUACUAUUAUUAUAUUUUCACAGACUUUUGAAGCACAAAUUUAUUGGCAUUUAAUAUUGGACAUCUGGGCCCUUGGAAGUACAAAUCUAAGGAAAAACCAACCCACUGUGUAAGUGACUCAUCUUCCUGUUGUUCCAAUUCUGUGGGUUUUUGAUUCAACGGUGCUAUAACCAGGGUCCUGGGUGACAGGGCGCUCACUGAGCACCAUGUGUCAUCACAGACACUUACACAUACUUGAAACUUGGAAUAAAAGAAAGAUUUAUGAAACGUGUCUGUGUUUCCUUUGACCCACAGCACCUGGGCCCUGAGCAGCAGGCUUCCUAUGUUCAGUGGCCAGAAGCAGAGCUUCAGGUACAUUCGUGGUUUUCUCCGGUGGACAUGGGUCCUCAGAUCCCCUCCAGCCCAGUGUGGCCACCAGGGCACCUCCUUCAAUAGACUCCAAAAGGGGCAGCUCCUACCAUCUGGGAGAAGCAAUCUAAGGAGAUCACAAAAAGUAACGGAACAGGAGUCAUAAUCUUUCUUGAACUCCUGUGGUUUUUACUGAAACUUG
rnacentral:misc_RNA from 1 species